AACGAACGCUGGCGGCAUGCCUAACACAUGCAAGUCGAACGAGACCUUCGGGUCUAGUGGCGCACGGGUGCGUAACGCGUGGGAACCUGCCCUUAGGUUCGGAAUAACUCCCCGAAAGGGGUGCUAAUACCGGAUAAUGUCUUCGGACCAAAGAUUUAUCGCCUUUGGAUGGGCCCGCGUUGGAUUAGCUAGUUGGUAGGGUAAAAGCCUACCAAGGCGACGAUCCAUAGCUGGUCUGAGAGGAUGAUCAGCCACACUGGGGCUGAGACACGGCCCAGACUCCUACGGGAGGCAGCAGUGGGGAAUAUUGGACAAGGGGCGAAAGCCUGAUCCAGCAAUGCCGCGUGAGUGAUGAAGGCCUUAGGGUUGUAAAGUUCUUUUACCCGGGAUGAUAAUGACAGUACCGGGAGAAUAAGCUCCGGCUAACUACGUG
rnacentral:rRNA from 1 species